AUUGAACGCUGGCGGCAUGCUUUACACAUGCAAGUCGAACGGUAACAGGCCGCAAGGUGCUGACGAGUGGCGAACGGGUGAGUAAUGCAUCGGAACGUGCCCAGUCGUGGGGGAUAACUACUCGGAAGAGUAGCUAAUACCGCAUACGAUCUAUGGAUGAAAGCGGGGGACCGUAAGGCCUCGCGCGAUUGGAGCGGCCGAUGUCAGAUUAGGUAGUUGGUGGGGUAAAGGCUCACCAAGCCAACGAUCUGUAGCUGGUCUGAGAGGACAACCAGCCACACUGGGACUGAGACACGGCCCAGACUCCUACGGGAGGCAGCAGUGGGGAAUUUUGGACAAUGGGCGCAAGCCUGAUCCAGCAAUGCCGCGUGCAGGAAGAAGGCCUUCGGGUUGUAAACUGCUUUUGUACGGAACGAAACGGCUCUGGUUAAUACCCGGGGCUAAUGACGGUACCGUAAGAAUAAGCACCGGCUAACUACGUG
rnacentral:rRNA from 1 species